CCCAGACUCCUACGGGAGGCAGCAGUGAGGAAUAUUGGUCAAUGGCCGAGAGGCUGAACCAGCCAAGUCGCGUGAGGGAAGACGGCCCUACGGGUUGUAAACCUCUUUUGUCGGGGAGCAAAGCGAACCACGUGUGGUUCAUUGAGAGUACCCGAAGAAAAAGCAUCGGCUAACUCCGUGCCAGCAGCCGCGGUAAUACGGAGGAUGCGAGCGUUAUCCGGAUUUAUUGGGUUUAAAGGGUGCGUAGGCGGAAUGCCAAGUCAGCGGUAAAAUCGCGGGGCUCAACCUCGCUCCGCCGUUGAAACUGGCAGUCUCGAGUUGGAGAGAAGUAUGCGGAAUGCGCGGUGUAGCGGUGAAAUGCAUAGAUAUCGCGCAGAACUCCGAUUGCGAAGGCAGCAUGCCGGCUCCACACUGACGCUGAGGCACGAAAGCGUGGGUAUCGAACAGGAUUAGAUACCCCGGUAC
rnacentral:rRNA from 1 species